rnacentral:lncRNA from 1 species
UGGCUCGAAUCUGAUGUAUUGGCCCUUAUGAAAAUUCCCCCUAGUCACCACAGUGUGUUAUCUGUGUGGUCAUAGUGUGCACACUAUGAUCACACCGAAACCACACUGUGAACACACAGUGAAAAUUGCACACUGUGAAUUGCCACACAGUGAACACACUGUGAAAUCACCGUGGAUUGGCCACAGUGUCUGUUCACACCGAGAACACACUGUGAACACACUGUGGUCAUUCCACAGUGUGAAUUGCCACUCUGUGAACACACUGUGAAUUCACCGUGGAUUGUCCACAGUGUCUGUUCACACCGAGAACACACUGUGAACACACCCAGUCAUUCCACAGUGUGAAUUGCCACUCUGUGAACACACUGUGAAUUCACCGUGGAUUGUCCACAGUGUCUGUUCACACCGAGAACACACUGUGAACACACUGUGGUCAUUCCACAGUGUGAAUUGUCACUCUUUGAACACACUGUGAAAUCACCGUGGAUUGUCCACAGUGUCUGUUCACACCGAGAACACACUGUGAACACACUGUGGUCAUUCCACAGUGUGAAUUGCCACUCUGUGAACACACUGUGAAAUCGUGGAGUAUUUGACCACACAGAAAACACAGCGAGAUCACACUGUGUUCACACGGUGACCAUUUCACAUUGUGACAUCUCCCAGACUAUGAAAACUGUGUGAAUGAUGUGUGAUUGGUCCACAUAGAAAACACACUGAGAUCACACUGUGUUCACACAGUGACCAUUUCACAUUGUGACCAUUUCCAGACUAUGAGAACUGUGUGAAUGGUGUGUGAUUUGAACAUAGUUGGUCCACACAGAAAACACACUGAGAUCACACUGUGUUCACAUGGUGACCAUUUCACAUUGUGACCAUUCCCAGACUAUGAAAACUGUGUGAAUGAUGUGUGAUUUGAACAAUUGGUCCACACACUGUGACAGGUUCACACUGUGAACGGCCACUGUGUGAACACACUGUGGACUCUUUGUGAUUUUGUCAGUGUUGGUCCACAUUUAGAGCACACUGUGAACACACUGUGACAGGUUCAGACUGUGAACCGUCACUGUGUGAUAACACUGUGAACUCACCGUGAUAAUUUCACAGUGCUGGUCCACUGAGAACACUGUGAAAACACUGUGACAUUUUCACAUUGUAAACCGCCACUGUGCGAACACACGGUGGACUCGCCGUGACUUUAAAUUACAUUGAAACAAAAUUCUAUGUUGAGAAUUGCUGCUGUCGCACCAGAAUCUUUCGAUAUUUUUUUGAAAAAUGUUUAUAUUUAUUUAAAAACAUUCUUUUUUUUAUGCAUCUUGAAAUUGCGUUACCCUCACGGUUAAUUUUUGUCAGUUGUGGAAUGUUGUAUCGACAUACAUACAUGUUAUAUUUCGAAGUGCAAACAUCGUGUCAGGAAAAAUAAUAACUUGUUGCCUUUUUACAGAAACAUAUAUCAAAAGCCGCGAGUUUGUGUGCAUGCAUGCCAAAACAGUGACGCCAACCAAUCAUAUGACGCGUAAUUUGCAACAGCAUCCUAGGUUGUAACGCGCUGGCCAAUCAGAGUACGCUCUUUGAAUUUACAAUCGCGCGCCAGGCCUGACGACCGUUGACCUUGCUUCGCCAACCGCCAUGACAGUACUGCUGCAUGUGUCAUGUGUGUUCCAGCAACGUGCAAUCGCCGUCGUUUUACUGAAAUAUCAGACCAAUGGGCUCAUGACCAAGUGAUUGAAGACAGUUCAUCAAUGAUGGCCAGAGUCAGAGUGGAACCUGAAGACAGCAGGUGACGGGACAAAUAUGUCUUUUCAAUUAAAACAGCGAGUAUCCAAGAAGCUUCAGAAUGGCAAGGUGAUGGAUGUUGCUGGUUGCUGAUUGUUGCAUCUCCUGCCAAGUUUGCGCCAGAAAGGAGACGUGAUGGAGGGACAUGCCUGGGACCCAUUCACCUUCAUCUUAAGUCUUACCGUUGUACGGUCAUUACUUAAAAUACAACAGUAUCAAAUAUUUUAAUACACGUAUCUGAAUAAUUGAUCAAUGUUCUCUUCUAGGGUGACUGUUAUUUUUCCAUAAGUGUUCAACAGGGAAAAGUUCUCAAGUUAUGGAAACUCAACUACUGUCUUUAAGGUAGAAUGGACCAUUUUCCUUUACAUGUUUGAAAUGUUUCAUUUGAAGCAACAGAAGUGCUUACGAAUCUAAAGAUUGGAACUGAAAAUCAAUCUCAUAAAGUUUUAGUUCAGUGAAUGCUUUAUUUAGGGGAGAACACAUUUUCUUGAUCUUGAUUUAGUCAAAGUUUGUUAAUGCAUGAGUGCCUAAUUCUCGCUCAGCCACCAAACCGAUGACUAAUGGCAACGAAACUAAUGUUUUGCAAAUGCAACCCCAAAACAAGUUUGGGUCGGGUCAGGUUGUUCAUUUCAGUAGGGUCGGUGUUGGUUUUGCAUUUGCGAUUUUCAGGUCAGUUAUUGUACAAAGCCAAAAUAAUUGGGGGAAAAACCCAGAAACAGUUCGGAUAUUCGCACGGUUCAGUCAUUUUAUUGCAGAGUCUUUGUGCUGGGUACAACAAACUGUGGUUUAUAGUCUAUCGUGUGCUGUUAGUAUUCACUGUACCUUAUGGUUCGUUACAAUUAUUUAUACAUGUAUUUAAACCAAGUUCAAAAUUUUACGCAAUAAAUAUUUCUUUGAAACAUGCAUAAUGGAAA